AUACUUUAGCAGUACAAAAAGAAAUAUCUAUUCAUAAUAUCUUGAGAUUGUUUCCUAUUAAGCUAUUCAAAGAAGGAAACAGUGUGAUUGACUUGUCUUUUUGUUUACCUAUUUGGAUUAAAAUAAAGAUAUUCUCCUUCGCUCCACAUUAUCAUUUUACUUAACAAAAGAAACAAUAACUUGUGUACCGAAAGAGGUACCAUUUUCUCAUGAAUUUAUCUUGAGUUGAGAUUCUUUGGUCAAUUCUAUCCAAUUUUGCUAACAGCAGUCCAUUUUCAAUCUUGAAUUGGUUAAAAUACAGCAACGGAAUUGUGUAUUUAUUUAAGGUGACAAUGUAUAUUAUUUAUUAAACUCUUAUGUUUUAUUGUGCUUUCUAUUCUGGCUUUGAAAUUUGGGGCUAAGAAAAAGGUUGGGAUGUUCAUUGUUCAACUAAUUUGAGAUAUUAGACGAUGCUAUUGAUGUAAUGAAAUUGGAAGAUGCUGUAAUUCAAAACAUGGUAAAGUCUCUGAUUUGUAUUCACAAGUUGCAAUCCUUGAUUGUUUUUCAUUGUAUUGGGUUAUUUUUCAUAAUAUUGGCAAUUUUGACAAAUGUACAAUGAUUUUAACUCUACUAUAUACAUACUUGGUCACCCAUGGAAAAAGUUUGAAAAGAUAAUUCAACAAUUAUUUGGAAACCUUUCCUCAUGUUGGGAACCAAAAUGAGGUACAAGAAGCAAUGUAAAGUGUACUUCAAACAGAACUUGAGUUGUACGAGUAGGGUUAAAAUAGUAACUUCGCUUUAUUCACUCUCUCACCUCUGCUUCUACUCUUUCUUCUCUGGUUGACAACAUUGACAGCCAUUUUAAACCUUCAACGGAGUUAAACUUUACUUCAGAGUCUCACUCCAACUUCUCAAGUUCUUUCAAUUGUUUACCUGAUAAUUAAUGGCUUGAUGCAGUCGCAUGUUUGACGGAAUUUCAUGUGAAGGUAAGACUUGUGUGUUAUGAAGAGAGAUUAGUUACAAGAGUUGAUUGUUUUGGCAGAUGAUUGAAGGUGCUAAUGAAGUUGAACGGUGGGCUUAGGUGAAUAGACAUUUUCCCUUAUAAUAUCUUUUUUUCAUA